AUAGUUACAGUGGAGUUUUCUGUUUGGGAAAUGAGUGAAGAAAAAAACGAAAAAAGGGCGAAAAAAGGGAGAAAAAAGCGAAAAGCGAAGAGUUCGUGUGUAACAUUUACCUUUUUGCCAUCCAGCUCGUGUGUGCCUUGGAUUUGGAAGGAGAUGUAAACAGGAGACGGUUAGCGAGAAGUUCUGCAAAUAUUUACCCAAGCCAGGAGCCAAGUAACUGAACCUGAACCAGCCCUAUCCCGAGACCGAGACCGAGCCCCAGAAUCAGAAUCAGGAAAACAGAAAGAGAAACAGGAGCCCCGCCUCGGCCAAAGUUGAACCUGCCAUCGUCAGUUUAGCACGUGCGCCAAUUAGGCGCUCAAAUUACAUCAAAAUAUUGCCAGCAAAGAGUGGCUUGGGGGGGGCCAAAUGAGCAGUCUAAGGCCCAUGGCCCCAUUCCCCCAUUCCCCAUCCACAAAUGCCCCUUUUUCGAACUGAACUGUUCGAAGGCAGACGCUUACAAGCCAUUACGUAAGGCGCGCCGUCUCUUUCCACGCCAGCUCCGUCUCUCUCUUUCUGUUUCUGUUUCUUUCGUCCGUGUUGUGAUAAACUUAUUCUUGUUAAAUAUUUAAUUAAAAUGCUUAUUAUCUCGCACUGCAUUUUAAUGAGUCUCCCAUGCCAGGGCAACGAAACGAGACAGCCAAAGACAACAAACCAGCUCACAGAUUUUGGGCUGUGGUGGCCCCCCUUUCAAUCCGCUCCCUGCAACCCCCCGCCACCCCCUUGCAACCCCGCCUGUGUGCACGUUUAUGUUUAUUUGAGUUUUGCCACUUGGCAGCAACGCUUAACGACGCCUCGUCUCCUCGCUGCGAAACUCACAACUUCUUUCAGCCCGGCCCAGACACAUGCUCGUAUUUGUCUUGCUCUUUUAAGCCCUCCACUGCUGCCACCACCCCCACCCACCAUCGACCACCCACCAUUCACCGCCCACCAGCCGACGUAAGCCGCCCAAUCUGCACCACCACCCCACUCAAUCCGAGCCCCACUAGAACCGCAAGCACAGACAUGUGGCCCAGAAACCAGGAGCCCCAGCCCAGCACCAGCACCAGGCCCAGUUAACAUGGCCAGGUCCAAGUGGUCAGCUGGCGGUGGAUUAGAACUAAACAACCCAUCUGGCAUACAACUAUGCUUCCAAUUCAGGAGUGUCAUGGUCAAUAUGGAAAUGCU